GUGCUUGCUUUGGCAGCACACAUACUAAAAUUGGAACCAUACAGAGAAGAUUAGCAUGUGCCCUGUGCAAGGAUGACACACAAAUUCUUUAAGUGUUUCAUAUUUGU
ensembl:snRNA U6 U6 spliceosomal RNA